ACUCUUGCCAGAAUUAAAAAACACAAAAACAUUUAGCGGUCUGGAUUUAACUUGUAGCCUAUACAUCUCUCCAUGUCCAUGAUUCUACCUAGUAGCACUACUUUGACUCAAUCCUGAGCGUUCCUUUUAGUGCUGGUGCAGUGGUGCUACACUGAUAUUCACUACAUAAUGAACUUUUGAGCUAUGAUGCACGGAUACUUCUCAAAAUUCACGUACCGGUGUCGGAUACCGUAUCAGAUACGGAUACUCCGCGGAUACUUCUGGAUACGUAUCCGAGGCGUAUCGGAAAUUCCUGUGAAUUUAAAUAAAUAAAAAAAGACGGAUACCUCUUGGACACCUCUUGGACACCUGUGGGAUACGUUAUAUCCCUAAUUUCCCUGCGCGCUGCUUCUCCCCUACGGCGCACACGCGCAACUUCUCUGCGCGCCGCCAGCCCCGCUUCUCCCCACGGAGCGCCGCCAGCCCUGCUUCUCCCCACGGCGCGCCGCCAGCCCGCUUCUCCCCACGGCGUGCCGCCAGCCCUGCGCGCCGCCAGCCCGCGCUUCCCUGCGCGCCGCCAGCCCGUCACCGCCUGGAGACCCGCGCAGCCGCGCUUCCCUGCGCACCGCCACUCCAGCCGUGCUUCUGUGACCGCGUCCGCCGCCGCCAGCUCUGUGGUCGCGCCGUCAGCCAACCCAUCUGCCGUCGUGAGGAACUGAGAUCCCAAUAUCCCAUGGCAACGAGUGCAUCUACCAAUGCUAGCAGCAGUGAAGGUGCCGAAGGAAAUUUUCCAGUAGCCAAUAACCCUGCCAUCGCAAGACAAGUCUUGACUGCUGUUCGUAUUGUUCCUCCAGAUGAGGAUGAGAAAAAACCGUUGUGGAGGUAUGCUGAGAUACUUGAAAGAACUGGAAAGGGUUUGGGGGGCAAUGUGAGGAUUAGGUGUAGACUUUGUAACCAUGUUUGGAAUGGAAGCUAUUCUAGAGUUAAAGCACAUCUGUUGAAAAUUCCUGGUUUUGGGGUGAAGUUUUGUCGAGUGGUGACAGUACAUGUUCUUGAACAAUUGAAAGCUGAAGUUGCUGCAGCCAGUGUUGUUGCUAACAGAACCUUGCCUAGAGAUAUCCCACUUCCAGUUGAGGGCAAUGAGAAGAGGAAGAGAAGGGGUGUUUCAGCUAUUGAAUCUAGCUUCAAUUUGGAUGUUCGAAGACAGCUUGAUGAACUAAUAGCUAGAAUGUUUUACACUGGUGGUCUGCCUUUUAAUCUUGCACGUAACCCAUAUUUUAGAAAGGCUUUCAUGUUUGCUACCAAUUACUUGGACAGCCAGCAUCAUCUUCCUGUGCCGAAAGAAAUUGGAGUACAUAUGGGCUGAUCCAUAGUUCAUUGAGAAACAGGUUCGAUUCUAUUUCAUUUUAUUUGUCUUAUUCAUUAUGAUCAGUUGGUCACACAUGUAUGAAUUUGGAUUCCUAAUACAAAUCUACAAUUUAAAUUGUAGGCUAAAUCCUGGGCGUGCUGAGGAUUUAGUUUUCACACACCAAAACUUGCGUCUUCUUUCUAGAAAAUCUGAUGAAUACCGCUGUGGUCCAUCAGCAAUGUGGGAUGUUGGAGCUGACACUUUUGAAGCUGAUUUUGAGGGUGGUGCUGAUUUUCUUGAGCAAGCUGAUCUAUCACUGGAUGAGCCAGAACUUGAAGAAAGAUUGUUUGAAGAUCUUGAGGCAUUGGGUUUGACCGAAGAUGCAGAAUGAAAUCUAGUUGUUGUCUCAUGUCUGGUCUGUGGUCUAUGGUCUGUUAGAAUUAAAACUUAGAACUUGUGUAGCGUAGCGUAUCGUUACACAUGUUUUUGGGCUUUUGGCAUGCUGGAUUCAUUGAUUUGAGUCCAGAUAAAUUCUGGAGGAGGAAGUAGAUGUUUACUUUAGUCAAAGUUGUUGAACAUUAACUUCUAACGCCCUUAAAUUGAACUGAUCAGCUGCUGUCCAUUCAGGCA